CAGUAGCCGCGGUAAUACGUAGGGUGCAAGCGUUGUCCGGAAUUAUUGGGCGUAAAGGGCUCGCAGGCGGUUUCUUAAGUCUGAUGUGAAAGCCCCCGGCUCAACCGGGGAGGGUCAUUGGAAACUGGGAAACUUGAGUGCAGAAGAGGAGAGUGGAAUUCCACGUGUAGCGGUGAAAUGCGUAGAGAUGUGGAGGAACACCAGUGGCGAAGGCGACUCUCUGGUCUGUAACUGACGCUGAGGAGCGAAAGCGUGGGGAGCGAACAGGAUUAGAUACCCGCGUAGUCCCUGUCUCUUAUAC
rnacentral:rRNA from 1 species